rnacentral:rRNA from 1 species
GACGAACGCUGGCGGCGUGCUUAACACAUGCCAGUCGAACGGAAAGGCCCUGCUUUUGUGGGGUGCUCGAGUGGCGAACGGGUGAGUAACACGUGAGUAACCUGCCCUUGACUUUGGGAUAACUUCAGGAAACUGGGGCUAAUACCGGAUAGGAGCUCCUGCUGCAUGGUGGGGGUUGGAAAGUUUCGGCGGUUGGGGAUGGACUCGCGGCUUAUCAGCUUGUUGGUGGGGUAGUGGCUUACCAAGGCUUUGACGGGUAGCCGGCCUGAGAGGGUGACCGGCCACAUUGGGACUGAACUACGGCCCAGCCUCCUCCGGGAGGCAGCAGUGGGGAAUAUUGCACAAUGGGCGGAAGCCUGAUGCAGCAACGCCGCGUGCGGGAUGACGGCCUUCGGGUUGUAAACCGCUUUCGCCUGUGACGAAGCGUGAGUGACGGUAAUGGGUAAAGAAGCACCGGCUAACUACGUG